rnacentral:lncRNA from 1 species
AACAACCACCAAAAAGCAAACAACAGUUCCCUCGUUUGUCCCAAAAAAUUAAACACAGAUUCUGUCACCUUGCCCCAACAAAACCACUGCACAGGGGUGGAUGGCAAAUGCUGCCAUGGCUUCAUGAGAACUUCAGAAAACACAGUGUGUUGUUUCUUCUGUGUUUUGCCAGACUGAGUCUGAAAAUACUGUGUUGAAUUCCCUGAGUUCUGGAAUUAUAACAACAUGUCACAAAUAGAUGCCUGGCAAUGCACAGCCUCACCAGAGUGACAGAGCAGCACAUCAAGGCUGCCCCUGGUGUAUCUCCACUGACAUCCUUACACCAGGGAUGAGUUCCACAGACACCACAGGAGGGAAGGGUCCUGUGCAUCAGGCACAGGCACAGAUCCUGGCUCACAUUAUUUUCCUGUUGAUUGUCUCCGUGAUCUUGAGCUCAAAAGACUUUUUAUAGAAAACAGAGAAAUCCAAAAUGGAAUGUAUGAUCAAAUGGACAGAAAGGGGAAAGCAGUGUUUCAAUUUGAC